ACAGAUGGGCGGCUUGUCGCUGAUGCAUCGCAUGAGAGGAAAGUCCGGGCAGCACAGAGCACUCCACUUCCUAAUAUAGAAGUAGUUUGUGAAAGCUAAGAAGUGUAGAAGAAAAUAACCGCAAUCAUUGUUUUCAAUGGUUGUAAGGGUGAGAAGGCGGGGUAAGAGCCCACCAGAAGUAUGGUGACAUACUUGCUGUACACCUUGGAGGCUGCAAGUUCAUGUAUAGUAGCGCUUGAGGGUUGCUCGCCCGAGCUACAGGGUAGAACGCUAAAUAUGAAUUGGAUGGUGACAUUCAAUCUGGAUAAAUGACAGGCACCAUUGCAAAAUGGUACAGAACCCGGCUUAUAGUCCAUCUGUUUUU
rnacentral:RNase_P_RNA from 1 species